AUUGAACGCUGGCGGCAGGCCUAACACAUGCAAGUCGAGCGAGCGGCGGACGGGUGAGUAAUGUAUGGGGACUGCCCGAUAGAGGGGGAUAACUACUGGAAACGGUGGCUAAUACCGCAUACUAUCGGAUAACCCAUAUGGGAUUAACUAGUAGGUGGGGUAAAGGCUCACCUAGGCGACGCUCUCUAGCUGGUCUGAGAGGAUGAUCAGCCACACGCGGACUGAGACACGGCCCAACCGCCUACGGAGUCAGCAGUGAGGAAUAUUGCACAAUGAGCGCAAGCCUGAUGCAGCCAUCCCGCCUGUAUACAUAAGGCCUUAGGGUUGUAAAGUACUUUCAGCGGUGAGGCAUUAUCCGCAGGAGAAACACCAGCUAGCUCCGUGCCAGCAGCCGCGGUAAUAC
rnacentral:rRNA from 1 species